UGGGGAAUAUUGGGCAAUGGGCGCAAGCCUGACCCAGCAACGCCGCGUGAAGGAAGAAGGCCUUCGGGUUGUAAACUUUUGUUGUAGAGGACGAAGAAAGUGACUGUACUCUACGAGGAAGCCCCGGCUAACUAUGUGCCAGCAGCCGCGGUAAUACAUAGGGGGCAAGCGUUGUCCGGAAUCACUGGGCGUAAAGGGAGCGUAGGCGGAUGUUUAAGUUAAGUGUGAAAGCCUGGGGCUUAACUCCAGAAAUGCACUUAAUACUGGACAACUAGAGUGUGGGAGAGGUAAGUGGAAUUCCUAGUGUAGCGGUAAAAUGCGUAGAGAUUAGGAGGAACACCAGAGGCGAAGGCGGCUUACUGGACCACAACUGACGCUGAGGCUCGAAAGCGUGGGGAGCAAACAGG
rnacentral:rRNA from 1 species